GUGCCAGCAGCCGCGGUAAUACGGAGGGUGCAAGCGUUGUUCGGAUUUACUGGGCGUAAAGGGCGUGUAGGCGGUUAACUAAGUCAGAUGUGAAAUCCCUUAGCUUAACUAAGGAAGUGCAUUUGAAACUGGCUAACUGGAGUACAGGAGAGGAAAGUGGAAUUCCCAGUGUAGAGGUGAAAUUCAUAGAUAUUGGGAGGAACACCGGUAGCGAAGGCGGCUUUCUGGCCUGAUACUGACGCUGAGACGCGAAAGCGUGGGUAGCAAACAGGAUUAGAAACCCCCGUAGUCC
rnacentral:rRNA from 1 species